rnacentral:rRNA from 1 species
GCGCAGCAGUCGCGCAAACUUUGCAAUACACGAAAGUGUGACAGGGCUAUCCCGAGUGCCGUCCGCUGAGGGUGGCUUUUACCCAGUCUAUAAAGCUGGGAGAAUAAGGAGAGGGCAAGUCUGGUGUCAGCCGCCGCGGUAAUACCAGCUCUCCGAGUGGUGUGGAUGUUUAUUGGGCCUAAAGCAUCCGUAGCUUGCCAAGCAAGUCCCCUGUUAAACCCACCGAAUUAAUCGUUGGAUUGCAGGGGAUACUGCUCGGCUAGGGGACGGGAGAGGCCGACGGUAUUUCCGGGGUAGGGGUGAAAUCCUAUAAUCCCGGGAAGACCACCAGUGGCGAAGGCUGUCGGCUAGAACGCGCCCGACGGUGAGGGAUGAAAGCUGGGGGAGCGAACCGGAUUAGAUACCCGGGUAGUCC